UCGUCGCACCAUGAGAUUGAUCGCUCGCACCUGCUUUGUCGCGCACCCAAAAAUAACUGCUCAUGAAAUAACUUCAGCAGGAAAUCCGCCACCGAAUCCUCCCGUCAAUCUUGUGCUCUCCUCAACCGCCGACGCUCCACGCCUCCCGCCGCGACAACGCCCUACCCCCAUCCCUCAGGCCUUCGUGCGCGCCUCCACACCACCGCGUAGUCGCACCAGCCGCCCUCCGUGCUCCAAGCCUCAAGCCUGCCGCUCACCGAGAUUCUGGCCGUUGCGGAGACCCGUGAGGUUAAGACCAGAACGACAAGAUGUUCCUGCAGAAAAAGCAACAAGAUGGGAGAAGGAUUCGUGGAGCAGAUCUGAGCGCCAUCUCGUGUCGUGGGUCAUCUUCGUGAGAUUGGCACCCCUCCUUCCUCAUGCUCCCCUUCUUCUCUCCCAGCAGCAGUCAUGGUGGCUUAGCGGCAGCCCUGCAUCAUCGAUGGACGGGAGCCCGCCCUGCCGCUUGGACAUUUCUCACUUGUGUUGUGCGACAUCGAGGUCAAGAAGCUGCCUCCGCCUCUCCUAGGUCCAAGCCAGGCCUCUAUACACGUAGAAGCACCGACAACCCAUCAGGUUCUUUCUUGCUUUUUGAGUCUGUGCAGAAUUUAUUUCCACAACUCAUUGUUGUGACCCUUCUACAAAUAUAUUACAUUUGACUCUUUUUUUCCAUUGAGUAAUGGUUCUUGGGUAAUGCUUAGGUUGAGUACAGGGUAAUAUGCGGGUCUACUGCUUGCGGGGGUUAACACAUGCUAUAUAAAUUCAGAGCUUUAAAACUAUACUUGUGGUGAAUUCUUUUCUUUAGGUUGCUAUUGCGUGAUCUUUUCUGCCCAGGUAACUAGAAUGUUUUCUAUUUUAAGUCGUCUUGAUUAAUUCUUGAUGAAGUGAAGUGAUAUGAUCAGAUAAUUCAGUUGAGAAACAGUAUGAUUCCCUGAAGGGAGGAUUUGAGCUUGUAAUUAAGAUUGAGAUGGCAAAGGUUUCAGGUAAUGAUAUUUUUUGUUUAGAAGAGUUAAUAAUAUCUUGCAUUCAUGGGUGAAGGUUUGGUUUAAUUACGCUUAGGUGACGCUGGUAUUGUGUUGUCUCUUGAUUAAUAUAUGUGGAUGUUGAAUUUGAUCUGCUCCGGUCGGAGUCCGACUGGAUGCAUACUGUGAUAUAGCAGAUUAAUAUUGUUGUGUUGUCUCCCACCCAGGUUGUUUUGUUGCCGUCUCCCCUUCGAGUAUCGCGUAACCACCUCCAAUAUGGCCAUGCCACCACCCCCAGGAGUCCAGGACCGUGCCGCCACAUCCUCCGACAAUGUAGGCGAGCUUCCUCCUUUACGUUAUUUUGCACUGUCUAGAUAUCUGAUUUAUGAUUGUCACUUUAAGUUCUUUCGCGAAGUCCAAUUAAUGAUGAUUGUUACUGUAAGGAUACAACCAUAGAGGGAAUAUUAUCGCCCCCAAAUCCCCAAUGAUUUCUCAAGCUUCGUGACCAAAGCACACCAGUCUGAAUAUCCAUUCUUGCCUUAUUUCUUGUUCUAUAAAUCUCUACUUCACAUUGCAAAGCACCCGGUUCCCUAUUCUGUUUAAUUUAGUAUAUGUACCCCAGGGGUGCUUUUUACAAGAUAUUAGGUUUCAUACUUCCAUUGGCAUCAUACAAAUAAUAGAGAAAAUAUGUACACCGCAUCGCCUGACAUAUCCGCUCAUUAACUGUGGUAAGAGCAUCUCCAACGGGCGCUCUAAAUUUGGCGCUGUAAAAAUCACUUUACAGCGCGCUCUAUCCAUAUUUUGUGCGUGAGGGCAUAUUCACCUCCAACAGAAGCUCUAAACCUUGGAGCUGUAAAAAUCCGUACUUGUUUCUGCGCGCGACGGAUACAACACGCUCUUUCCGGCGCGGUAGAUAUAGUGCACGAUAUAGCGCUUUUGCCUCAAGCUGUAUUUUACAUCGCGGGUUAGAGCGCUUGUUGGAGCAUAAUUUUGCGCCCACGCGCUAAACCAGCCGCUUUUUUUGGAUACAGCGCGGGAUAGAGCGCCUGUUGGAGAUGCUCUAAACCCUUGUAGUCCACUGAUGUAUACACUCAUUGCAUACACAUUGCUUUCCAGGUUACAUUUUGUGUUGAACCCACAGUUGGUUUUCAGGUUACAUUUGUGUUGGUGGAAUGAUCUGGUUGAAUCUUUGUCUCUUCGUAACAUGAAAACCGGAACUACUGCUAGAUGGUUAUGUUCUUAGACUGUGUAUGAUUCCACUUCAGAAUGGUUGGUUGCUGGCUCGUCUAAUUUCCGUCGAACUGUAACCGUUUUGCGUUUUGUAUCCCAUAUAUAAAUAAGCAAACAUAUUGCAUUGGUGUCAGAAUCAUUACUACAGCAUAGCUUCAGAGGUGUGACAAAACCUGUCAGAGUAUCAAUGGAGCUAGAUAAUGGGCUUAGCCAGGUAAAGAUCUGUUAAUCUUUUCUUUUUUUGGGGUGGAUGUCAAUCAAUAUUGCUUAUAUUUCACUAUUAGUUUAUCUCGUGCUUGUUAUUUUGUGUUUAUACACAAAAAAUUAUUAAGAUGUUACAAAAGUUCCCCCGUCAAGAAAGCCCCUACACAGCCGGUAAGCAUACUAAGUUGUUGAGGUGCCCCAUAUCCUUAAGUUGGUUAAAGCACUUCCAAGUUUUGAUAAUUUCCUUAUACUUUUAUAAUCACAGAUAAAAAGCAGCUUUUCUAGAAUUAUAGUUGUAAUCAAGGGAAUGCCAAGGUUUAGUGGUUUAUCGAGUCUAUAUCAUGUAUUAGCCAAGCGUAGUGCCACUCUGAGUCAAUUGUUUCAUAGAUUGCCUUAGGUUUGGUUUUGUAAUGCUGCUUUUGUUUCUUAGGGUGUUCUUGCCCAAAUGAGCUGACAUUUCCGCUCAUUAACUGCGGUAAACCCUUGUAGUCCGUUGAUGAUGUAUACACUCAUUGCUUUUCAGGUUACAUUUUGUGUUGAAGUGAAAGUUGGUUUUUAGGCUACAUUUUGUGUUGAUGGAAUGAUCUGGUUGAAUCUUGGUCUCUUCUUAACAUUAAAUCCGGAAUUACUGCUAGAUGAUUCUGUUCUUAGAUUGUGUAUGAUUCCACUUCAGAAUAGUUGGUUGUUGGCUCGUCUAAUUUCUGUCGAACCGUAACCAUUUUGCGUUUUGUUUCCCAUAUAUAAAUAAGCAAAGAUAUUGCAUUGAUGUCAGAAUCAUUACUACAACAUAGCUUCAGAGGUGUGGCAAACCCGUGAGAGUAUCAAUGGAGCUAGAUAAUGGGUUUAGCCAAUCUUUUUAUUCAAGCACUGCAAUAGAUUAAGAUAUCCAAUUACUUAACACCCUAACUACCAGGCAAAUAUGACAGUUUGGUAAAGUAUCGAUUUGUAUUAUGCGUGCCAACGAAGAUGGAACCAUGUGCACAACCAACAUAUCCAUGAUUUUCUCUCGUGUACUUAGUUUAGUGUAUCAGUGUAAAACUGCACUGAUAAUUUUGGCACCAUCUAUGUUUUUAUUCAAGCACUGCAACUGAAAUGUUUCUCAUCAGAAGGUUUACUACGUUCAAGGGCAUGUGAAUCAAUUGGUUGAGUACUCUGCUUCAAUUUUUUUUGGCUCAGUACUUUGUUUCCUGAAAUCUUACUAUAUGCAGUGGUUUUUAUAUUGUGCUUCACAUGGAGCUUUCCUGUUAUGUCACGGCAGCCUUGUGUGUAUCUCUAUUUGUGCCCACCUUAAGUGUGUAGCUUUUGCUCUAUAAUGUAUUUUUCCACUUCAAUACUUAAUUUGAUGACUUCAUUUGCAGGCCUAGAAAAUGAAUGCUCUCCAAAAGAUCAGCAACGAUUUCCUAUAUUUGGAUGUCACUUCCGAGCAUGUAUAAAGGGAGAGUAUUAGGAUUAUAUAUAGGAUUAGUAGAACAUCAUAUUUUGAAGCGAGAAUAUACUGUAUGUUGUGUAUUCAUCAGAUAGUAUUCAUGCACCGAAUGGUGAUUCAAUUGA